rnacentral:rRNA from 1 species
GAUAACGCUGGCGGCAGGCUUACACAUGCACGUCGACCGGUACGCAGGAGAAAGCUUGCUUUCUCCGCUGACGAGCGGCGGACGGGUGAGUAAUGUCUGGGGAUCUGCCUGAUGGAGGGGGAUAACUACUGGAAACGGUAGCUAAUACCGCAUAACGUCGCAAGACCAAAGUGGGGGACCUUCGGGCCUCAUGCCAUCAGAUGAACCCAGAUGGGAUUAGCUAGUAGGUGGGGUAAUGGCUCACCUAGGCGACGAUCCCUAGCUGGUCUGAGAGGAUGACCAGCCACACUGGAACUGAGACACGGUCCAGACUCCUACGGGAGGCAGCAGUGGGGAAUAUUGCACAAUGGGCGCAAGCCUGAUGCAGCCAUGCCGCGUGUAUGAAGAAGGCCUUCGGGUUGUAAAGUACUUUCAGUAGGGAGGAAGGUGUGAACGUUAAUAGCGCUCACAAUUGACGUUACCUACAGAAGAAGCACCGGCUAACUCCGUGCCAGC